ACGGAGGAUGCAAGCGUUAUCCGGAUUCAUUGGGUUUAAAGGGUGCGCAGGUGGUUUUAUAAGUCAGAGGUGAAAGCCUGACGCUUAACUUUAGGAUUGCCAUUGAUACUGUAGGACUUGAGUAUGGAUGAGGUAGGCGGAAUGUGUAGUGUAGCGGUGAAAUGCAUAGAUAUUACGCGGAACGCCGAUUGCGAAGGCAGCUUACUAAUCCAUGACUGACGCUGAGGCACGAAAGCGUGGGGAUCAAACAG
rnacentral:rRNA from 1 species